rnacentral:rRNA from 1 species
AGAGCGAACGCUGGCGGCAGGCUUAACACAUGCAAGUCGAGCGCCCCGCCAAGGGGAGCGGCAGACGGGUGAGUAACGCGUGGGAACGUACCUUUGGUUCGGAACAACACAGGGAAACUUGUGCUAAUACCGGAUAAGCCCUUACGGGGAAAGAUUUAUCGCCGAAAGAUCGGCCCGCGUCUGAUUAGCUAGUUGGUGAGGUAACGGCUCACCAAGGCGACGAUCAGUAGCUGGUCUGAGAGGAUGAUCAGCCACAUUGGGACUGAGACACGGCCCAAACUCCUACGGGAGGCAGCAGUGGGGAAUAUUGGACAAUGGGCGCAAGCCUGAUCCAGCCAUGCCGCGUGAGUGAUGAAGGCCCUAGGGUUGUAAGCUCUUUUAACGGGGAAGAUAAGUGACGGUACCCGUAGAAUAACGCCCCGGCUAACUUCGUGCCAGCAGCCGC